rnacentral:rRNA from 1 species
AGUGAACGCUGGCGGUAGGCCUAACACAUGCAAGUCGAACGGCAGCACAGUAAGAGCUUGCUCUUACGGGUGGCGAGUGGCGGACGGGUGAGGAAUACAUCGGAAUCUACUUUUUCGUGGGGGAUAACGUAGGGAAACUUACGCUAAUACCGCAUACGACCUACGGGUGAAAGCAGGGGAUCUUCGGACCUUGCGCGAUUGAAUGAGCCGAUGUCGGAUUAGCUAGUUGGCGGGGUAAAGGCCCACCAAGGCGACGAUCCGUAGCUGGUCUGAGAGGAUGAUCAGCCACACUGGAACUGAGACACGGUCCAGACUCCUACGGGAGGCAGCAGUGGGGAAUAUUGAACAAUGGGCGCAAGCCUGAUCCAGCCAUACCGCGUGGGUGAAGAAGGCCUUCGGGUUGUAAAGCCCUUUUGUUGGGAAAGAAAAGCAGCAGGUUAAUACCCCGCUGUUCGGACGGUACCCGAAGAAUAAGCACCGGCUAACUUCGU